rnacentral:tRNA from 1 species
UGAUAAAUAGUUUAAUGAGAAUACUUGUUUUGGGGACGAGAGGCUUAAAAUUUAUUUUAGUUUGUCAA